rnacentral:rRNA from 1 species
UACGGGGGGUGCGAGCGUUGUCCGGAAUCACUGGGCGUAAAGGGCGCGUAGGUGGUUUGAUAAGGGUGUGGUGAAAGCCCGGGGCUCAACCCCGGGUCUGCCGUGCCGACUGUCAAACUCGAGGGCUGUAGAGGCAGACGGAAUUCCGGGUGUAGCGGUGGAAUGCGUAGAGAUCCGGAAGAACACCGGUGGCGAAGGCGGCCUGCUGGGCAGUUGCUGACACUGAGGCGCGACAGCGUGGGGAGCAAACAGG